rnacentral:rRNA from 1 species
AUGACAUGUGCCUUCACUAGCGGCAAGGUCAUUUUGGAGGCAGCAAUUCUUACAACGGUGGUUGUCUUCAGCCUGACUGCUUACACUUUCUGGGCUGUAAAGAGGGGCAAGGACUUCAGCUUCCUUGGUCCUUUCUUAUUUGCUUCUCUCAUCAUGUUGCUCGUCUUUGGGUUCAUUCAGAUCCUCUUCCCGCUGGGCAAGCUUACUCACAUGAUCUAUGGCGCGCUGGCGGCACUCAUCUUCAGUGGCUACAUUGUCUAUGACACGGACAACAUCAUCAAGCGUUACACCUAUGACGAGUAUGUCUGGGCCGCCGUCUCGCUCUACCUUGACAUCAUCAAUCUGUUCAUGGCCUUGCUCACCCUGUUUAGUGCGGGUGACAGCUAA